GGGGAUUUAGCUCAGUGGUAGAGCACUUGCCUAGCAAGCGCAAGGCCCUGGGUUCGGUCCCCAGCUCCG
rfam:Rattus norvegicus chromosome 10, whole genome shotgun sequence.